AAUGGCAGGUCAGCAUACUGCCGUGAAUACGUUCCCGGGCCUUGUACACACCGCCCGUCACACCAUGAGAGUUGGGAAUACCCGAAGCCUGUGAGCUAACUUUUAGAGGCAGCAGUCGAAGGUAGAAUCAAUGAUUGGGGUGAAGUCGUAACAAGGUAGC
rnacentral:rRNA from 1 species